rnacentral:rRNA from 1 species
UACGAAGGGGGCUAGCGUUGCUCGGAAUCACUGGGCGUAAAGCGCACGUAGGCGGAUUGCUAAGUCAGGGGUGAAAUCCUGGAGCUCAACUCCAGAACUGCCUUUGAUACUGGCGAUCUCGAGUCCGGGAGAGGUGAGUGGAACUGCGAGUGUAGAGGUGAAAUGCGUAGAUAUCGAGAGGAACACCUGCGGCGAAGGCGGGUUGCUGGGCCGACACUGACGCUGAUGCGCGAAAGCCAGGGGAGCGAACGGG